UUAAUUGAAUCCAAAAAGAGGAAAAUUAUUGUUAAUAAUUUUAUUGAAUAUAUCUCCAAUUAAA
rnacentral:tRNA from 1 species